AUGUCCACAGAUCAUGAUGUUUUCAGCAACAGUACAUUCAGAAAUUGUCAAACUCUGUCUUACACCAUGAUUGAUACAUGGGGUAUUUCUUGUGGGAACCUAGGUAAACCAAACAAAUCAAUUAGAGAAGUGGUAAUUUGGGUGGAGUCUAAGCAGAAGAAGCUGAACAUUUUUGAGAUAAUGAAGAGUAAGCAGUACUUCAAACCUCCUGCUGUUGUAUUUGUGAGUUCCAGUGUUGGUGAUCUCUUGUCUGAAGCAAUUACUGCUGCUACUGGGUUGGAGUAA
rnacentral:rRNA from 1 species